UACGUAGGGGCCUAGCGUUGUCCGGAUUUACUGGGCGUAAAGAGCGCGCAGGCGGUCGUUCAAGUCGCGUGUGAAAGCCCCCGGCUCAACUGGGGAGGGUCACGCGAUACUGAUCGACUCGAAGGCAGGAGAGGGUAGUGGAAUUCCCGGUGUAGUGGUGAAAUGCGUAGAUAUCGGGAGGAACACCAGUGGCGAAGGCGACUACCUGGCCUGUUCUUGACGCUGAGGCGCGAAAGCUAGGGGAGCAAACGGG
rnacentral:rRNA from 1 species